GAGUUUGAUCCUGGCUCAGAACGAACGCUGGCGGCAGGCCUAACACAUGCAAGUCGAGCGCACUCUUCGGAGUGAGCGGCGGACGGGUUAGUAACGCGUGGGAACGUACCCAGAUCUAAGGAAUAGCCACUGGAAACGGUGAGUAAUACCUUAUACGCCCUUCGGGGGAAAGAUUUAUCGGAUUUGGAUCGGCCCGCGUUAGAUUAGAUAGUUGGUGGGGUAACGGCCUACCAAGUCUACGAUCUAUAGCUGGUUUUAGAGGAUGAUCAGCAACACUGGGACUGAGACACGGCCCAGACUCCUACGGGAGGCAGCAGUGGGGAAUCUUGGACAAUGGGCGCAAGCCUGAUCCAGCCAUGCCGCGUGAGUGAUGAAGGCCUUAGGGUCGUAAAGCUCUUUCGCCAGGGAUGAUAAUGACAGUACCUGGUAAAGAAACCCCGGCUAACUCCGUGCCAGCAGCCGCGGUAAUACGGAGGGGGUUAGCGUUGUUCGGAAUUACUGGGCGUAAAGCGCGCGUAGGCGGGUUGUUAAGUUAGAGGUGAAAUCCCGGGGCUCAACCCCGGAACUGCCUUUAAUACUGGCAACCUAGAGUUCGAGAGAGGUGAGUGGAAUUCCGAGUGUAGAGGUGAAAUUCGUAGAUAUUCGGAGGAACACCAGUGGCGAAGGCGGCUCACUGGCUCGAUACUGACGCUGAGGUGCGAAAGUGUGGGGAGCAAACAGGAUU
rnacentral:rRNA from 1 species